CGAUCGUGCCGGGUCCCCCCCUCUCGCCGCCGCCGGGACGCCGAGCCGGGACGGAGCCGCCGGGACGCCGCGGACGAGGGGCUGCAUGGCCGGGGGGGGCUGUGGGGGCCGCCCCGUCCUCCGCGGGGGACCCCCCGGAGCUGGGUGCCGGUGCCCGUGGCGGCUCCUGCUCCUGGCCUGGCUCAGCCUGGUUGGCACGGCACAGGACCCAGCCCUGGGCACACCAGAGAGGGUCCC